ACGUACCUUGCUAAAUUGUAUAUAACCUUUCAAAUCUGACAUUGAAAUGUAGAAGUCAAUUACAUUCUUUUAGAUACAAAUCGCACUUGUUAUUACAUUCUAUUUUUUCGAAUUGAAAAGACGUACCUUUCAAAUUUUAUUCUAGUUAGUGUUUUAGCUGAACUGAUUAUUUUAAACUUAAGAGGAGGAGUAGAAGUGGUUAUAUAUAAUAUAUAUAUAAGAGACUCAUCGAUACAGUAUAUUCAGUUUACUUCAACAGAUUUACAAUCUAGACUUUUUUUUCUUUUAAUAAAAUUAAUUUAAUUUUGAAAAAAUGUCCUGCUACUCAUUUAAAAGCGAUGACGAGGAGUCGGUUGUAUUUUCCGAAGAUAAUAUUGCAACAACAUCUCAAAAAAAGGUACAUCGAAAAGGUUAGCUGUAAAACCGGAGAAGAAACCGGUAUCGAAAAAGACGAAAAAGAGCACUGCUAUUUGUUAUACAGACAAAAUAUUAGAUUUAAUAACAGAUCCAACUAUACCAACCGAUGCAAAGAACACCUUGAAUAUAAAAAAGGAUGAUUGUUCAUUAACGGUUAAGACACCUGUAGACAAUACGGCUGUAGAUUACUGGACUAUAGCACAUUAUAAAUGUGCUAAAAUUGCUAAUGUUGCUCUGCAAGAUAGAUGGAAGCAUGCUGAAUGCUCACUCAAAAUAUCUUUAACAGGACAGCAUCCGGAUGAUUUAACUACAGCCAAAGAAAUGGUGACGCUCAUUCAAUCUGUUUUCGACAAAAUGAUGCGACAUCCCGCCAAGAAGCUAAUCAGACACAAACCAAAAAAAAUAAACUUAUAAAAUGUAUGUAAUAGGAUAUGGUGUUGGAUUAAUUUUAUUUAAU